AAGAAUAUAGGAGUAAGGAUGCAGACAUUUGUAUGCACUGUAUUUGUUACCUUCACCCCUAUUCUUUCCGUGUUCUGUUCCAUGUGCUCUUUGAGUCC
rnacentral:sRNA from 1 species